AGUGAACGCUGGCGGUAGGCCUAACACAUGCAAGUCGAACGGCAGCACAGUAAGAGCUUGCUCUUACGGGUGGCGAGUGGCGGACGGGUGAGGAAUACGUCGGAAUCUACUUUUUCGUGGGGGAUAACGUAGGGAAACUUACGCUAAUACCGCAUACGACCUACGGGUGAAAGCGGGGGAUCUUCGGACCUUGCGCGAUUGAAUGAGCCGAUGUCGGAUUAGCUAGUUGGCGGGGUAAAGGCCCACCAAGGCGACGAUCCGUAGCUGGUCUGAGAGGAUGAUCAGCCACACUGGAACUGAGACACGGUCCAGACUCCUACGGGAGGCAGCAGUGGGGAAUAUUGGACAAUGGGCGCAAGCCUGAUCCAGCCAUACCGCGUGGGUGAAGAAGGCCUUCGGGUUGUAAAGCCCUUUUGUUGGGAAAGAAAAGCAGCAGGUUAAUACCCCGCUGUUCUGACGGUACCCAAAGAAUAAGCACCGGCUAACUUCGUG
rnacentral:rRNA from 1 species